GGUGCCCGGUCAGCGGAAACCCGCCACCAUAGCAUCUGACUCAUAAUCAGAGGGUCCCUGGUUCAAGCCCAGGUGGGACCA
rnacentral:tRNA from 1 species